rnacentral:tRNA from 1 species
GGCGAGAUAGCUCAGUUGGUUAGAGCGUCGGAUUCAUAAUCCGGAGGUCGUGGGAUCAUGCCCCACUCUCGCUA